AUUUCGCUAUUUUUCAACUUAACGUUUGAUUGUUGUCAAGCUUUUUUGUUAAUUAAUGUAAUAAUUAAAUCAAUUUUUAGUCUUUUCUUCAUAUUUUAAUUAUUCUGAUCACUCUGUUCACCCAUUAAUUUCAUAAUCUAGUUCAAUUUUCAUUUGUUUGUGUCUAAUAGUCAAGUGGUCAUCUUUACUUUCUCAAUGGCACUUUGACCGUUUCUUUCCAGAUUAAGUUAUAGUAAAACAACAGUUAAGGCCCGGGACUCUGCUUUAAGUAGUGUACAAAUUAAAUGGAUUUAAGAACAACUCUAAAGUGUUGAGUAAAGCGGAUUGACCAUCAAUAUCAACGGCGUUUGGAUGAACAAGUGAAUGGGAAGAAAGACAUUGAAAGUGAAACGCAGUUUAACCAUUAAGAGCCAUUAACAGAAACAAAUUUUACAUGUUGAACAGUUUGUUAUAGAAAGGAUUGGAAACAAGAAUUGGGUCAAUGGCAGGUUUAAUAUUUCAAGUGAUUAGAUUGAGAACAAGUUGUAAAUUGUUCUAAUAUUUAACCCAAUCACUGACCUCAAAGGCUGGUCCAAGUCACAUUUAUCGGUCAGAAAAGAGAGAAUGUUAAACAUACAAAAAGGAAAACAAGAAAACAAGAUUUAUCAGACAAGUACAAUUAAUCAUUUAUAUAUACAUACAUAAAUGAUAAUGAGGUGAUUGAAUUGAUUGCAAUGAUUUAAACAAAUUAGAAAUGCGAG